rnacentral:rRNA from 1 species
GCCGAAGAGGGGUUUGCGUCUGAUUAGCUGGUUGGAGGGUAACGGCCAACAAGGCGAUGAUCAGUAGCCCCGGUCCUGAGAGGAUGAACGGCCACAUUGGGACUGAGACACGGCCCAGACUCCUACGGGAGGCAGCAGUGGGGGAAUCUUCCGCAAUGGACGAAAGUCUGACGGAGCAACGCCGCGUGAGUGAAGAAGGUCUUCGGAUUGUAAAGCUCUGUUAUACGGGACGAAAAAGACGGAUGCCAACAGUAUCCGUCCGUGACGGUACCGUAAGAGAAAGCCACGGCUAACUACGUGCCAGCAGCCGCGGUAAU